rnacentral:lncRNA from 1 species
UAAGCCAGGCCUCCCAACCUGUUACCAUUGCUGUUUUAAGGAUACUUAUCUAUCACAUUUUGAUGUAUUCGGCUUUAUUGCUAUUUCUACUCGUUAGAAUGUCAGCCUCAUUACUAUGUAUCAUCGGUACCCAGAAACGUGUGCGGCCUAACAGUAGAGACUUAAAAAGGGGUGGGGAGCUGUUGGUUGUUGAGUGACUAUCAGUUUGUUACCCACAAGUAUGUCACACUUCCUGACAGAAUGCCUGUUCACUAAUGUUGAUUUCUGAGUGCCCUAGAUGAUACAAAUCUUUCUGAUUUUGAGCUCUCUCACUUAACAAGCACAGGUAGUACCUUCUUCGUGGGCCAGGUGCUGGAUUACAACACAGAAUAAACAUGGGUCCUACCCUCAUGGAGUUUAGUCUUCCAAAGAACAGGAAAUAACAAGGCAGUAAUAAUUUUGGGUAAGUAAGCACUUUUAAAAGUUCAAGGUUCCCAAAAGGCAUUUAGAAGGUGUGGAUAGAAGGGGAACUUGCUGGCCAUGGUUCUCAGGAAUACCCAAAUGAAAGUGUUAACAGCGAUGAGAAGGCACUUCGAGAGUAAAGUUGCCUCUUAUUUAUCUGGGCACAGUAGAUUUUAGCUAAACUACUCUGUGAAAGAGAAUAGGAAGUCAUUAUAUAUUUGACCUGAAAUGAUGGGGGAAAUCAGAUUACUUAAAAUUAUAAGCA